rnacentral:rRNA from 1 species
AUUGAACGCUGGCGGCAUGCCUUACACAUGCAAGUCGAACGGCAGCACGGGAGCAAUCCUGGUGGCGAGUGGCGAACGGGUGAGUAAUAUAUCGGAACGUGCCCAGUCGUGGGGGAUAACGCAGCGAAAGCUGUGCUAAUACCGCAUACGAUCUACGGAUGAAAGCGGGGGAUCGCAAGACCUCGCGCGAUUGGAGCGGCCGAUAUCAGAUUAGGUAGUUGGUGAGGUAAAGGCUCACCAAGCCGACGAUCUGUAGCUGGUCUGAGAGGACGACCAGCCACACUGGAACUGAGACACGGUCCAGACUCCUACGGGAGGAAGCAGUGGGGAAUUUUGGACAAUGGGCGCAAGCCUGAUCCAGCAAUGCCGCGUGCAGGAUGAAGGCCUUCGGGUUGUAAACUGCUUUUGUACGGAACGAAAAGGCUCUGGUUAAUACCUGGGGCACAUGACGGUACCGUAAGAAUAAGCACCGGCUAACUACGUGCCAGCCGCCGCCGUAACAC